rnacentral:rRNA from 1 species
GAUGAACGCUGGCGGCGUGCCUAAUACAUGCAAGUCGAGCGAACAGACGAGGAGCUUGCUCCUCUGACGUUAGCGGCGGACGGGUGAGUAACACGUGGAUAACCUACCUAUAAGACUGGGAUAACUUCGGGAAACCGGAGCUAAUACCGGAUAAUAUAUUGAGCCGCAUGGUUCAAUAGUGAAAGACGGUUUUGCUGUCACUUAUAGAUGGAUCCGCGCCGCAUUAGCUAGUUGGUAAGGUAACGGCUUACCAAGGCAACGAUGCGUAGCCGACCGGAGAGGGUGGUCGGCCACACUGGAACUGAGACACGGUCCAGACUCCUACGGGAGGCAGCAGUAGGGAAUCUUCCGCAAUGGGCGAAAGCUUGACGGAGCAACGCCGCGUGAGUGAUGAAGGUCUUCCGAUCGUAAAACUCUGUUAUUAGGGAAGAACAAAUGUGUAAGUAACUAUGCACGUCUUGACGGUACCUAAUCAGAAAGCCACGGCUAACUACGUG